rnacentral:rRNA from 1 species
GAUGAACGCUGGCGGCGUGCUUAACACAUGCAAGUCGAACGGAAAGGCCCAAGCUUGCUUGGGUACUCGAGUGGCGAACGGGUGAGUAACACGUGGGUGGUCUGCCCUGCACUUCGGGAUAAGCCUGGGAAACUGGGUCUAAUACCGGAUAGGACCACAUUUUGGAUGGUGUGGUGGAAAGUUUUUCGGUGUGGGAUGAGCUCGCGGCCUAUCAGCUUGUUGGUGGGGUAAUGGCCUACCAAGGCGUCGACGGGUAGCCGGCCUGAGAGGGUGUACGGCCACAUUGGGACUGAGAUACGGCCCAGACUCCUGCGGGAGGCAGCAGUGGGGAAUAUUGCACAAUGGGCGCAAGCCUGAUGCAGCGACGCCGCGUGGGGGAUGACGGCCUUCGGGUUGUAAACUCCUUUCGCUAGGGACGAAGCGUUUUUGUGACGGUACCUGGAGAAGAAGCACCGGCUAACUACGUG